rnacentral:rRNA from 1 species
GAUGAACGCUAGCUACAGGCUUAACACAUGCAAGUCGAGGGGUAGCAGGGUAGCAAUACCGCUGACGACCGGCGCACGGGUGAGUAACACGUAUCCAACCUUCCCAUAACUCGGGGAUAGCCUUUCGAAAGAAAGAUUAAUACCCGAUAGUACUUAACAAAGGCAUCUUUGAUAAGUUAAAGAUUUAUUGGUCAUGGAUGGGGAUGCGUUCCAUUAGAUAGUUGGUGAGGUAACGGCUCACCAAGUCUUCGAUGGAUAGGGGUUCUGAGAGGAAGGUCCCCCACAUUGGUACUGAGACACGGACCAAACUCCUACGGGAGGGAGCAGUGAGGAAUAUUGGUCAAUGGGCGAGAGCCUGAACCAGCCAAGUAGCGUGAAGGAUGAAGGUCCUAUGGAUUGUAAACUUCUUUUAUAGUAGAAUAAAGUGGCCCACGUGUGGGUUUUUGUAUGUAUACUAUGAAUAAGGAUCGGCUAACUCCGUGCCAGCCGCCGCAGUAAGAC